ACUGCUUCUCGGCCUUUUGGCUAAGAUCUAGUGUAGUAUCUGUCCUCAUCACUUUAAUAUCUGGUGUGUCCUCUAUCCAAGGACUUUAUAUUAAAUGGAGUUUUGGAGCUGGGAGAUGGAAUAGGAGCUUGCUCCUCGCAUCAGCCCGGUGUUGCAGUACUUCUAGGAACAGUGUACCAAAA